GGCCCUAUAGUGUAGUGGUUAUCACUCGGGAUUCUGAUUUCUCUACUGAGUGCCUGUUUCCCGAAACCCAGGUUCGAAUCCUGGUAGCACCU